CCUCAAUCAAUCCCGAAUCCCCCCUCUCCGCAGCGAGCGGAGGUGUGGUCUAAGCGUAAAAUAAAAGAACUGAGCGGGCAGGUACAGUGCGAGAGGAGCGGAGAAGGAGGGUGGGCAAAGCGGGGGGAAGAGAAGGGGCGGCCUCGUGAGGCGGCGCGGAGAGGCCGGCAGAGGCCGGCUGUCCGUCAUGCUUAUCGGCGCCUUCUGGCCCGUGCGCCACACCGACCUUCAAUAACGCCAAGUAUAUCGUAGGGUGUGUGCGCGUCAAGGUCGGGGCAGGCACGAGACGACUUAGGUUCCAGCGACCGCGCAUGGAGAGGAAGGGACUCCGUGUUCCCAGCAGGUGGAAGCCUACGUGUUUUACUCAGCAGUAGGAGGUUCCCUAGCAGUAGGAGGUUUCCUAGCAGUGGGAGGUUCCCUAGCAGUAGUAGCCGACUUGUUUUAUCUAAAAGUAGUAGCCCACCUGUUUUACCUAGAAGUAGGAGGUUAUUUCUUUAUGUACCCAACCGACUCGUUUCAACAAUUUUCAAGCCAUUUAUUUCAAUAUUCUCCUGUCAUGCUGCCCUUGAAAUCACUUCCGAUAAGUUGGGUCGUGCGAUGCAGUGUACCAUGUGUAUGGUCACUGUUACUUCUGUAACUAGCACGAUAACGUAAUAGGAAUAGUCUCCUUCCAGUUUCCUUCCCUUUCCGGUAACUAUGACUACUAGUAAAUCUUCUACUUCUCGAACGUGCCCGAGACGUUCUUUCAGACUUUCUAUUUGUAGGAGAAGCAGUCUUCUAAGGCCGCCCCCCUCAAGUGAGUCUAUCAUGAGGUCGUUGAUCGGAUGACGGUCUAUAGAACGGUAGUUCAUCUAGCUCCCAAACACGACCUACAUUUUGAGGUGAACCUGUACCUGUCAAAGAGUCAACAUACCUAAGACAAACCGUGGGAGUCACGAAGUCCACAAGUCGAACGUCACUCGGUUAUAGUCUGAGACUCAAACGUCAUGUACUUCUAGUAGGUAUGGUGUCAAGGACGAUGUUCCUCUUGAAAGUAGGUUUUACACUACAAACGUUCUUGAAAUAAGCUUGUUUAUUUUUACCAAAUUAACUUAUGGCCCGGGUAGGAAAGACCUACGUCUUCAUAACAGGAAGCGUACUGUUACUGCCAUGAGGAUCCACAACGUCAACGCUUGCUUACCUCGGUUUCCUAUAGUUCAUGUAUUGUAAUCUACUACCGGCCUUCGAGACGAACCUCACAGAUAUAUGAAGUUAUUACCUGUGUCUGCUCACGGUUGGUCAUAUGUAACUAUAGGUCCUUAAGAUACUCCCAAACUUGUACUUUCAUCUCGUUGUCUAGGGGAACGAAAACCAACUUGCAGUUCCAAAUUUACUUCGGUCCCUUCAUCUCUUUUACCAUUCACUAUACUAUAAGUGGUAAAACAUUACAUACAACUAAUUGAUAAUUGGACGAACUAAUCCCCGUAGUGGAAGGACUUUGAUCCCCAGAGACGGAUAGCCUUCUCGUUUAACAGUCUUACUAUAGCUCUGCUGGUUAUGAACCUGGUCCUUUGUUUUACUAUCUGUAAAGAUGUCGUGGUGUGUUUGAUCAAGCCGCCACACUUCACUGACGUUAAGAACAUGAUAUACGAAACGGUUCUGACGAGUGUCCGAUAUAAGAUCGAGUACUCUACUACGUACGUAUGGAAGCUGAAUUUCCUAUGGCCUAGGAAUCAGGUCUCCAACUUCUUCCGUAGACAGUCCAGGAUCGAGUAGAGACCGAACUCAGACUUUAGCAUAGUCCAAGUUCAUCAUCGUAACGUUGGUGUAGACUUCGUCGUCGACAUCGUCGUCUUCAUCGUCAUCGUCGUCUUCGUUGUCACUGUGGAAGAAGUUGUAGAAGGAGACGCUUUUUCCCACUUUUCUGACUGAAACUCUUUUUUGAACCUCUUAAGAAGUUCGUGGUCUAGCUUUGUCUAGGGAGACGUUAUAUACCUCUACCCAAAGCUCGACCGUAAGCUCGUCAACUUGCGAUACCGAACUCUCCAUGAGAACUAGUAUAGUUCGCAAGUCCAAGAAAAGGUUCAACUCCAUCCCAAAACGUAGAAGUAAAACACUCGUACCCCGUAUAGGAUACUCCCGAAAAACCAAGUUUCAAUCCGUAUGGUUUACGAUAUGCGUAUUCUACUGUUUAUCUUGUGUCAUUUUUUCUUCUCCUAAAUCAGUAGUAUAUGGUAUUUAACGUCCCUAGAAAAGACAACACGAAAUCUAUACUUAAACAGUUCCACUAUCGUUUGUAACAUCUCAUAACUAUAAACUAUAUGUCUUUCUUUCACCUUACAUAAAGCUACAGACUUUCGUUACGGAAAGACAUACACGCAUACCCCGAGGUAAAAAUGCAGAACGGAU
rnacentral:rRNA from 1 species